GAAAAACAAAAAACCAUCCAGUGAGCAGCAGCUCUGUGGAACACACAUUGUUAAUGAGAGAGGUCAGAGGAGAAUGGCCAGACUGGUUCAAGCUGACAGGAAGACGACAGUAACUCAAAUAACCACACGUUACAACAGCAGAGUGCAGGAGAGCAUCUCUGAAUGCACAACACAUCAAACCUUGAAGUGGAUGGGCUACGGCAGCAGAAAACCAGGAACGUACACUCAGCGGCCAUUUUAUUAGGGUUCUUUUGAAGACCCUGACCUGGAGUUACGUGCUGACUUCGGCUCUCUGCGGGAAUGGGACCCGCUUUCAGAGUCUCACAACUGGCCAUUAUUCAAUAUGCCAAGGAAGCGGCCUAGAAGAUUAGCUCACUUUUGGAGUUUCGGGAUUUCGUGGCCCUGGAGGCAGGUGGACUCGAGGUCAGUGUCUCCGCAGGGAAUCAGUGUGUCGUGGGAGAUGAAAGAUCGAAAGCAGGUUGCUGGCUGUGUGUCCAGAGACCCGAGUUCUUUGGGCACAGAGCUCAGAAAAAGCGACACAACAGACUUUUAA